rnacentral:rRNA from 1 species
AUUGAACGCUGGCGGCAGGCCUAACACAUGCAAGUCGAGCGGGGUUUUCGGACCUAGCGGCGGACGGGUGAGUAAUGCGUAGGAAGCUACCCGAUAGAGGGGGAUACCAGUUGGAAACGACUGUUAAUACCGCAUAAUGUCUACGGACCAAAGUGUGGGACCUUCGGGCCACAUGCUAUCGGAUGCGCCUACGUGGGAUUAGCUAGUUGGUGAGGUAAUGGCUCACCAAGGCGACGAUCCCUAGCUGGUUUGAGAGGAUGAUCAGGCAGACUGGAACUGAGACACGGUCCAGACUCCUACGGGAGGCAGCAGUGGGGAAUAUUGGACAAUGGGCGCAAGCCUGAUCCAGCCAUGCCGCGUGUGUGAAGAAGGCCUUCGGGUUGUAAAGCACUUUCAGUAGGGAGGAAGCGUUGUGUGUUAAUAGUACACAGCGUUGACGUUACCUACAGAAGAAGCACCGGCUAACUCUGUGCCAGCCGCCGCAGUAACAC